AAACUAUUACUGACCUCAUUGAAUACCCUCAAUAUUUUAUAAUUUCUUUGUUGCUGGUCACCUACAACAAAAAACUAUCAAAUAUUAAUCUCAAACACGUGCUAAUGAACCGGUAGUUAAUAAACGAAAGCUGAGUACAAAAAGCCCAUAUUUAUUUCCUCAAAACUUGGCGCACGAACAAAGAAUUUAGUCAGAAACACAUAAAUCCAUAAUAAAACAAAAACACAUACUCAAACAUUACUUCUUUCACAGGGAUUCCCUGUUUUUUCAUAUUAAGCAUAAUCCGAUCCCCAGCAUCAGUAUAAAGAAAAAGCUAGAAGUAAGAAAAAUCCCCUUAUUCACUCAAAGAUGUUUGCUUAUCUCCUCUUUGAACUAUAAACCAGGUAUAUAAAGCACUAACAAUUGAUUUUUAGACUAUCAGUCACUAGUCACAGUCAAUACAAUUUAGUUUUGUGUGUUAUACAAUUUAUUUUAAAAAAAUGUCUGCUCAAAAAUUUGCUUUCUUUUGUGUUCUACUAAUCGUUGGCAUUUGAGGAUUUACCACAGCCGAUUGGUUGGAUGAUUUAAAUGAAGGAACUAGUCGUUUAUUAAAUGUUGUCAAUGAAAAUGCUGGAAAAGUUAACAAUAUUGCCAGUAGUGUUCAUCAAAUUGGCCAUAUAAUAAGAAAUAUUGAUCCAGAUUCAAAUGAAGAUGAUGACUAGAAGAUGUCAUGUAUAUUAAGGAAAAAUUUUACUUUUAACUUUACUUUAAACAAUAGUUAGGAAUAAAUAAAUUUGUAAAUAAACUAAAAAACUCUUUUUAAAAUUUAAA